CUACGUGCCAGCAGCCGCGGUAAUACGGAAGGUCCAGGCGUUAUCCGGAUUUAUUGGGUUUAAAGGGAGCGUAGGCGGAUUAUUAAGUCAGUGGUGAAAGACGGUGGCUCAACCAUCGUUAGCCAUUGAAACUGGUAGUCUUGAGUGCAGACAGGGAUGCUGGAACUCGUGGUGUAGCGGUGAAAUGCUUAGAUAUCACGAUGAACUCCGAUCGCGAAGGCAGGUGUCCGGGCUGCAACUGACGCUGAGGCUCGAAAGUGUGGGUAUCAAACAGGAUUAGAUACCCUGGUAGUCCACACAGUAAACGAUGUAUACUCGCGGUUUGCGAUACAGUGUAAGCCGCCAAGCGAAAGCAUUAAGUAUACCACCUGGGGAGUACGCCGGCAACGGUGAAACUCAAAGGAAUUGACGGGGGCCCGCACAAGCGGAGGAACAUGUGGUUUAAUUCGAUGAUACGCGAGGAACCUUACCCGGGCU
rnacentral:rRNA from 1 species